UACGAAGGGGGCUAGCGUUGCUCGGAAUCACUGGGCGUAAAGCGCACGUAGGCGGCUUUUAAGUCAGGGGUGAAAUCCUGGAGCUCAACUCCAGAACUGCCUUUGAUACUGAGAAGCUUGAGUCCGGGAGAGGUGAGUGGAACUGCGAGUGUAGAGGUGAAAUUCGUAGAUAUUCGCAAGAACACCAGUGGCGAAGGCGGCUCACUGGCCCGGUACUGACGCUGAGGUGCGAAAGCG
rnacentral:rRNA from 1 species